rnacentral:rRNA from 1 species
ACGCCGCGUGAGUGAUGAAGGCUUCGGGUCGUAAAGCUCUGUCAGGUGGGAAGAACACGGAAAUCCCCAAUAUGGGUUUCCGUUGACGGUACCAUCAGAGGAAGCACCGGCUAACUCCGUGCCAGCAGCCGCGGUAAUACGGAGGGUGCAAGCGUUGUUCGGAAUUACUGGGCGUAAAGCGCGUGCAGGCGGCCCAUUAAGUCAGAUGUGAAAGCCCUUGGCUCAACCAAGGAACUGCAUUUGAAACUAGUAGGCUUGAGUACGGGAGAGGAGAGUGGAAUUCCCGGUGUAGAGGUGAAAUUCGUAGAUAUCGGGAAGAACACCGGUGGCGAAGGCGGCUCUCUGGACCGAUACUGACGCUGAGACGCGAAAGCGUGGGGAGCAAACAGGAUUAGAUACCCUGGUAGUCCCGCUGUAAACGAUGGGCACUAGUGUGGAGGGUAUUGACCCCUUCUGUGCCGGA